AGGGCUAUAGCUUAAUUGGUAAAGUGUGCAACUCAUGAUUGCAUUUUUGAUCGUUCAAGUCGGUCUAGCCCUA